rnacentral:rRNA from 1 species
UACGAAGGGGGCUAGCGUUGCUCGGAAUUACUGGGCGUAAAGGGCGCGUAGGCGGGUCGUUUUAGUUAGAGGUGAAAGCCCAGGGCUCAACCCUGGAAUUGCCUUUAAAACUGCAUCGCUAGAAUUGUGGAGAGGUAAGUGGAAUUCCGAGUGUAGAGGUGAAAUUCGUAGAUAUUCGGAAGAACACCAGUGGCGAAGGCGACUUACUGGACACAUAUUGACGCUGAGGUGCGAAAGCGUGGGGAGCAAACAGG